UUAAGUUCAGCGGGUAUUCCUACCUGAUCCGAGGUCAACCUUGUGAUAAUUGGGGGUUGAAACGGGAGCCGCGGGCCGUUCAAUGCGUGCUUGAAAAGCUCGUUGCAUCUAGGGUCCACACGACUCCGUCAUUGUCUUUGGGACCCGUCUGGUGACGACGGGGUCCAACAGCAAGCCGGGCUUGACGGUUGAUAAUGACG
rnacentral:misc_RNA from 1 species